GUCGAUGGCGUAGUUGGUUAUCGCAUCUGUCUAACACACAGAAGGUCCUCAGUUCAAACCGACUCAGAUAGAGAGAGGCA